rnacentral:lncRNA from 1 species
GGCUGUGUAUUUUGACGACAAAACCGGUAAAGGUGUGCCUCUCACCCACGAUUUGGCUCUAGAGGUGUUAAAUGAUGGUAACUAGUCCGAAAUAGAAGAUUUAGAUGGCGAAAAUGAUGUUGCUUUUGAUGUUCAAAUGUUUAAAAAUAACACCAAUGACAAGGAUAUUGAAUAAACUGUAUUAGAUGAAGAACAUGUAUUGGAUGAAGAACCUGUUCCUUCAACGAGCUCUUCUUCAGCAAAGAGGCAAUGGAAAGACAUGACAUUUCAGCAAAAAAUGUUUGUUCUAUUUUAGUUAGUAUGUAAUAGCAUAUUAAACAAUUAUAAAAAUAAUUUUUAUUUGGCC